rnacentral:tRNA from 1 species
AUUCUUUUAGUAUAAAAAGUAUUUUUAGCUUCCAACUAAAAGGUUAAAUCUUAAAAGAAUA